AGCUCUCAAAAUGCAUAGAAUCAUUGCUGCGGUUAAAAAGCUCGUAGUUGGAUCUGUGCUAGGGACUCGGUCCACCUUUGGGUGCGUACUGAACUCCCUAGCUUUUCUGUCGGUUUUCCCAGCAUGGCCUUAACCGGUUGUGUUGGGUAGCUGAUGAUUUUACUUUGAACAAAUCAGAGUGCUUCAAACAGGCGUUUCGCUUGUAUGUUUUUGCAUGGAAUAAUAGAAGAGGAUUUCGGUUCUAUUUUAUUGGUUUUAUAGACUGAUAUAAUGGUUAACAGAGACAAACGGGGGCAUUAGUACUUUUGCGCUAGAGGUGAAAUUCUUGGACCGCAGAAAGACUAACUAUAGCGAAAGCAUUUGCCAAGAAUGUCUUCA
rnacentral:rRNA from 1 species